rnacentral:rRNA from 1 species
CCUACGGGAGGCUGCAGUGGGGAAUAUUGCACAAUGGGGGAAACCCUGAUGCAGCGACGCCGCGUGAAGGAAGAAGUAUUUCGGUAUGUAAACUUCUAUCAGCAGGGAAGAAAAUGACGGUACCUGACGAAGAAGCCCCGGCUAACGACGUGCCAGCAGCCGCGGUAAUACGUAGGGGGCAAGCGUUAUCCGGAUUUACUGGGUGUAAAGGGAGCGUAGGCGGUUUAGCAAGUCAGAAGUGAAAGCCCGGGGCUCCACUCCGGGACUGCUUUUGAAACUGUUGAACGAGAUUGCAGGAGAGGUACGUGUCAUUCCUGGUGUAGCGGUUGAAUGCGU